GACGAACGCUGGCGGCGUGCUUAACACAUGCAAGUCGAACGGUGAAGCCCUUCGGGGUGGAUCAGUGGCGAACGGGUGAGUAACACGUGAGCAACCUGCCCCUGGCUCUGGGACAACCACUGGAAACGGUGGCUAAUACCGGAUACGACCCGCCUCGGCAUCGAGUGUGGGUGGAAAGUUUUUCGGCUGGGGAUGGGCUCGCGGCCUAUCAGCUUGUUGGUGAGGUGAAGGGUCACCAAGGCGACGACGGGUUGCCGGCCUGAGAGGGCGACCGGCCACACUGGGACUGAGACACGGCCCAGACUCCUACGGGAGGCAGCAGUGGGGAAUAUUGCACAAUGGGCGAAAGCCUGAUGCAGCGACGCCGCGUGAGGGAUGACGGCCUUCGGGUUGUAAACCUCUUUCAGCUCCGAAGAAGCGAAAGUGACGGUAGGAGCAGAAGAAGCACCGGCUAACUACGUG
rnacentral:rRNA from 1 species